rfam:Capsicum annuum cultivar Zunla-1 chromosome 4, whole genome shotgun sequence
AAUUCAUGGUGUGGACAGUCCCAUAGAAGAGCCUUGAAACUCUCCCAAUCAUGAUGUAAAUUUUUAUUUGGCUUCUAUUUAAAGCAUAAAAUAUCACUGCAAAGUCU